GCCAGUUCAGGAUGAAACCUAUCUGAGUGGACAUCUGUGGAUGAUAAAUGCGGAUAUGGGACUGAGACUGGCU